rnacentral:rRNA from 1 species
AGGACGAACGCUGGCGGCGUGCUUAACACAUGCAAGUCGAGCGACGCACCACUUCGGUGGUGACGGAGCGGCGAACGGGUGAGUAACACGUGGGCAACCUGCCCCUAGCUCUGGGACAACACCGGGAAACCGGUGCUAAUACCGGAUACGACACCGAGCGGCAUCGCUUCGGUGUGGAAAGUUUUUCGGCUAGGGAUGGGCCCGCGGCCUAUCAGCUUGUUGGUGGGGUAAUGGCCCACCAAGGCGACGACGGGUAGCCGGCCUGAGAGGGCGACCGGGCCACGACGUGGGACUGAGACACGGCCAGACUCCUACGGGAGGCAGCAGUGGGAAUAUUGCGCAAUGGGCGAAAGGCCUAGACGCGAGCGACGACCGCGGUGAAGGGAUGAAGGCGUUCGGGUUGUAAACCUCUUCAGCAGGACGAAUCAGACGUACCUGCAGAAGAAGCACCGGACC